UACGUAGGGUCCGAGCGUUGUCCGGAAUUACUGGGCGUAAAGAGCUCGUAGGUGGUUUGUCGCGUUGUUCGUGAAAACUCACAGCUCAACUGUGGGCGUGCGGGCGAUACGGGCAGACUGGAGUACUGCAGGGGAGACUGGAAUUCCUGGUGUAGCGGUGAAAUGCGCAGAUAUCAGGAGGAACACCGGUGGCGAAGGCGGGUCUCUGGGCCGUAACUGACGCUGAGGAGCGAAAGCGUGGGGAGCGAACAGG
rnacentral:rRNA from 1 species